CCUACGGGACGCAGCAGUGAGGAAUAUUGGUCAAUGGGCGGAAGCCUGAACCAGCCAAGUCGCGUGAGGGAAUAAGGCCCUACGGGUCGUAAACCUCUUUUGCCGGGGAGCAAGGGCCGGGACGCGUCCCGGCCCGGAGAGUACCCGGAGAAAAAGCAUCGGCUAACUCCGUGCCAGCAGCCGCGGGAAUACGGAGGAUCCGAGCGUUAUCCGGAUUUAUUGGGUUUAAAGGGAGAGUAGAUGGGUUGUUAAGUAAGUUGUGAAAGUUUGCGGCUCAACCGUAAAAUUGCAAUUGAUACUGGCAG
rnacentral:rRNA from 1 species